UUUUUUUUAAUAAUAAAUAAGCAUUUAUAUACAUAUCUAUGUUACAUCAAAUUAAAGCCCUUUCUGUCCUUUAAAAAACGGUAUAUAAUAUGUGUUGAUGCAAUAAAUUAGUAAAAUGCAAAUUGCAUUUGAACGUAAAAACAGCAAAAAAUGCUGUUGUCAUUAAGUGAAAGACAAGCUUCUGAAGCUCUGUCCUUAAGGGGUUAAUAUUUUACAAGUUCAGAUCAAAAGAAAACGUAAGCAAAACCUUGAAUUUGUGCUAUAUAUCUGUUCAACUGUUAUUCACCUUUCAUAUUAAAUGCACCCACACUUAUUAUUUUGUUCAGGAUAAAAAGGGCUUUUAUGUCACAUCAAAUAUUUAUAUAUUAAACACAAUUUAAUAUGAAUAACAUAAAAAAAAUGUGAGAAAUUAAGAGUUAAUAGUUUUAGUUCUGCAUGGCAUUUUAACUGUGAAUGUCAUAUUACGGUUAGCUGUUACUGCAUUCAAGUACACAUUUGUAUUCAGCGAUGUCUCACGAGUAAGACAGUACCCCCCAUAUACAGUUUUUAUGAUGUUUUGGAAAGAUACAAGGUCAAAUGUAGCAUGUUACAUUUUGCAGUUUAUACAUUACCCCCAUGAUAGCAUAACUUUUGCAAAAGUAGACAAACCAAGGUAUUACAAAUACCAGUCUUUUUUAGUAGCCAUUUAGUUACAAACACUGGCCAAAGUUAGCAUUCAUAUUUGUUUGUGUGUAAAAAAAUGCAAAAAAAACUAAUUUGAACGCUAAUUUUAGCCAGUGUUUGUGACUAAAUGGCCAAAAAAGAUUGGACAUACCUCAUUUGCAAUACCUUGUCUACUUUUACAAAUGGUAUGCCAUCAUGUGGGUAAUUCUCAUUCCUGGGUUACCAUACGGUCUCAAAGGCAACAUAACCAAUCUGGCAAAUUUCAAUGUAAAAAAAAACUGAAAUACAAGCCUUGUAUUUGACUCUGCAACUUUAGAAAACACCAUAAAACCUGUACAUGAGGGGUUCGGUUAUAACUUUGGAGACUUCACUGAACACAAAUAUUAGUGUUUCAAAACAGUAAAAAGUAUCACUACAAUUAUAUCGUCAGUGAAAGUGCCGUUUGUGUGUGAAAAAUUCAAAAAACUAUACUUUCACUGACGAUAUCAUUGGUGAUAUGUUUUAUUGUUUUGAAAAACUAAUAUUUGUGUUCAGCAAAGUCUCCCAAGUAAAACAGUACCCCCAAUGUAGGUUUUAUGGUGUCUUGGAAAGUUACAGGGUUAAAUAUAGGGGCUUGCGAACCAAAUUCUCUGGACUUUCUGCCUGGGUUGUCAGACAGGUCCCUCAAAUGGUAAUUAAUAAAAUGACUUGAUGUAAAAAUAUUAUACAAAUAUAUAUGCAGAAUUUAAAUAUAGUUGUGUGUAUAUAUAUGUGUGUGUAUAUAUAUUUUAUAGAUUAUAUAUAGAGACAUAUGUAUUAAUAACGUCAUUCUAAAUGUAUAUUAAUUUAACUAUACACUGAACAAAAUUAAACGCAACACUUAUUUUUGCCCCCAUUUUUCAUGAGCUGAACACAAAAGGCUUAUUUCUCUCAAAUAUUGUUCACAAAUCUGUCUAAAUCUGUGUUAGUGAGCACUUCUGCUGAGAUAAUCCAUCCACCUCACAGGUGUGGCAUAUCAAGAUGUUCAUUAGACAGCAUGAUUAUUGCACAAGUGUGCCUUAGGCUGGCAUAGUACGCUAGAGAAGAAAGGUACUAAGACAAAGAUAGUUUUGAGAAAAAGAAAAUUGCAUCUUGGUUUGUCUCUGUCCUGAGGCGAGAAUAGAAUAUUCAAACAUUAUGGAGUCAAGAAGGACCAUUUGACCCAUUUCAUGUGUGUGCGUAUAUAUAUGUGUCAUGAUGUGUGCAUAUAUAUAUAUAUAUAUAUAUAUAUAUAUAUACAUAUACAUAUAUAUAUAUACAUAUACAUAUAUACAUACACACACACACACAUACACACCUCUUGUUUUCAAGUAUAAGGUUAGGAGGGUUAAGGAGGUAUCAUGUGAGUUUAGCUAUUUUAGGUGUGGAGGGCUUGGUGGACAUGAUUGGUUUGUCAGGAAAGCUAGGUAAUUUGAGCCAUCUGUAAAUGUAAUGAGUACCAUGGGGAGGGUGGGAAAUGAUCAUCCAGAAAUGCUACCUCUGCUUAAGGCAAGUCCUGCAGGGUUGGGUGAUGUGAGUCCUGGGUGUAGCUGUUUCAUUAAUUGUAUGGGGCCCAGGCUAUAAAGGGGAGAAUCUAGAGUUUGAUGAGACAGAUUGUGGGUGGAGAAUCAUUGAAGUGUUAAAAACAAAAUCAAGGAAAAAGCAGAUGAAAAAGAAUUUAAAUUUAAGGAUAUGAGGGAAUGGCGGAGAUCAGAUAGGUAAAAGUCCUAAAUAGGGAUCAUCAUAAAUAUUAAAAUGAUAUACA
rnacentral:lncRNA from 1 species